AUGGUCCUUCGAGAUAUUAGGGAUAUGUUGCAAUCCAUGGGAAAGGAUAUUAAGAGCUAUGGACUUCCGGAUCUGGUUGAGACCGGUGGUUCUUAUGACAGUGAAUACAGAGAGGUAACAGAGGAGAGGCAAAUCACCGCGGACACAGAACAUCUAGAUCUAUUUAGCAGUUUGAACCAUGAGCAGCUAGCUGGUUUCAAUGACAUAAUGGAUCAUGUGAUGAACAAAAAAAGCCAGAUAUUCUUUGUUGAUGGUCCAGGAGGAACUGGGAAGAUGUACUUGUACAAGGCAUUGCUAGCAAAGGUGCGUUCCAUGGGCGAAAUCGCGAUCGCAACUGCUACAUCUGGUAUUGCAGCGUCGAUAAUGCCUGGAGGACGCACAACACACUCCCGGUUCAAAAUUCCAAUCAAGCUCACUGACAACAGUAUGUGCGGUUUCACAAAACAGAGUGGUACAGCGGAGUUGCUUAGACAGGCGUCCCUGAUAAUUUGGGACGAAGUCGCUAUGACAAAACGACAAGCAGUUGAGACGCUUGAUAGAUCACUACAGGAUAUAAUGGAAUGUUCUUUGCCGUUUGGAGGAAAGGUUGUUGUCUUUGGUGGCAGGUCCUACCCGUUGUGA
rnacentral:rRNA from 1 species